ACACCCAUGCGAAACUGUCAAGCUUUGCACAAUGUAUGCUUUGCCGCUGUUAAAUAUAUACUAAGCAAACUGUUAUAAGCGUUGCACAAUGUAUGCUUUGCCGCCAAUAAGUAUGUAUUAAGCAAAAUGUUAUAUAUAAACCAUACCAUAUAUGGGAUUACCAGGAGGAAGAAAAUGCAGAGUACAACACUAAAGGAAAGCAGAAGUGCAAGAAUACGGAAGAAGAAGAGUAUAAAAGACUAGUGAUUUGUCUUAAGCGUGUGGCAGUGGUGGAGCGCAGACUCCCCUGUCACCCAGCGCUGCUUUUGCUCGCUUUCUACUUGCUAUGAAUCAAUAAAACCCUGAAUAUUACUCAGUCAAUUUAACGAGUAAUUUUUAACAAAUUGGUGCCGUGACUCGGAUGGGAAAUUAGUGCUCUACCAUCCCCUGGGGAGGCGCCCCGAGUGUUUCUCGGCCCCCGGGGUCAGUGGACCACUUUCGCCCACUUCGACGAACCUAAAUUCUAGAAAGCGAGCAAUUGAGACCGGAAACGAUCCCUUAAUCUUUGGUGCACUAAAGUCCGGACGAAGACGCAGGAUUGCAAACUGCUGUAAGAACAAUGGAGCGUGGUUGGACUCAUGCAAGCCGAAUAAAAGGACCUGUGUCCACACCUCAGUGGAAGGUCAUCAGCCCUCCAGGAGAAACCAAACUGAUACUAAAGCGAUAAGCUCCGAAUGAUUUGGACUUGGUUUGAGAACUUACCUUUUUAUGUAUAGUGUAUUUUAGGAAUCAUAAUAGCAUUAGUGAUAUCGUUAAUUGUAUAUUAUUUGUGGAAAAUUGUUAAAUGUGGAAGAGGAAUUUGUUUCCAUGUAUAAGAACCAAUCAUAUAUGUUUAUAGAAAGGGUGUCAAAAGUAGUGGGGAUUUAUGGCCAUUUUUAAAAGGAAAAGUAUCCACUUCUUUUGUGAUAUUUUUGAAGGGAAUGGUACGAUCCCCGAAUAUUCUCCUGAAGAAUACACCUGCUGUCGAGAAGAUGAUAAUCCCCGUGGCUCGAAGCAACCGAGUCGACGGGCGAGACAGAGGAGUACAAAAAUGUGGAGAACAGAAUUUAAGAUGGGAUCACACCAAGCGCCCCGAAAGGAGUGGUAAUGUAGCAAAUAAUUGGCCAGGCCUCCGCUCUUUUGGACUUACCCUAGCCAUAUUGACGUUAUACUUUAACAGUGUACAUGGAAACCCUCAUCAACCAUUAUGGAAUUAAGAAACCACACUGAUCCACAAAAUAGGUCAGAAAUAGCGAUAACGCCAUAUAAAAACUUUCAAGACCCCUUGUGGGAAAUAAUGCAAGCGUCUUAUUUAGCAUUGAACAACACCAAGCCAAAUUUAACUAAAGAAUGCUGGUUAUGUUUUAAUGUUAGACCACCUUACUAUGAAGCAGUAGGACAAUCAGAUAAAAUUAAAUGGUCAAACGGAACCAAUCCCUCAGAAUGUCCUUGGAGUGAGGACAAGCAGGACACCCAGGGAAUGACUUUACAGAAACCUACAAGUGGGCAAUACCGGCUACAGGAGCAAAAUGGGUGUGCUCAGAUAUUGGGGUGACAACGUGUUAAUGUAUCUCAAUUUUGUGUUCAGGUAAUAAUCAUUCCACGUUUAAUGUACCAUUCAAUGGAAGAUGUUAUGCAUCAUUUUGAGAAAGGCCUCAGUAGACAAAAAAAAAGAGAGCCAAUUACUGCAAUUUCCUUAGCUACUUUGCUAAUUGCAGGAGGUGUGGGAGCUGGAACGGGUAUAGCCUCAAUUAUUAAGAGUGAACAAAUGCAGGCAUUACAAAUAGCAGUAAAUGAAGAUCUAAUUAGAAUAGAACAAUCAAUUAAUCAAUUGUCAACCUCGGUCAAGUCUCUUUCUGAAGUGGCCUUACAAAAUAGAAGAGGUUUAGAUCUGUUAUUCCUCAAGGAAGGAGGAUUGUGUGUAGCCCUCCAAGAAGAAUGUUGCACAUUCAUAGAUUAUACUGGAGUAGUCCAAGAUUCAAUGGCAGAACUUCGAAAAAGACUAGACCAACGUAAAAAAGAUCUAGAGACCGGUACAACAUGGUAUGAAAAUUGGUUUAGUGCAAAACCAUGGCUAACUACUCUUUUGUCUGCUCUGGCUGGACCAUUGAUACUAGUUUUAUUAGGAUUAAUAUUUGGACCAUGUAUUAUAAAAUAUGUGUUACAAUUUGUAAAAGAAAGAUUUGAUAUUACGAAAUUAAUGAUUUUGACUUCUAGAACUGAAUAUCAACAAGUGCCACAAAAAGUACCAGAAGCAUAUUGUACCUGUGGUACUUAUAAAGAUGUAUAUCUCGAAUGUAAUUGUAAACAACCUUGUGGAUGUGAUAGGAGAUGUGAAGCUUGUGAAAGAUUUGUAGAAGCAGACGAGAUAGUUUAAUAACAUAGGAUAAAAAGAAAAAGGGGGGAAUUGUUAGAAACAGAUAAUGUGUAUUAAACUAUCAAUAAACUAAAAGUUUUGUAAGCAACCUAUACUGUGGUUAGAAAAAGGGAAGUACUAACAGAGAAACACCCAUGCGAAACUGUCAAGCUUUGCACAAUGUAUGCUUUGCCGCUGUUAAAUAUAUACUAAGCAAACUGUUAUAAGCGUUGCACAAUGUAUGCUUUGCCGCCAAUAAGUAUGUAUUAAGCAAAAUGUUAUAUAUAAACCAUACCAUAUAUGGGAUUACCAGGAGGAAGAAAAUGCAGAGUACAACACUAAAGGAAAGCAGAAGUGCAAGAAUACGGAAGAAGAAGAGUAUAAAAGACUAGUGAUUUGUCUUAAGCGUGUGGCAGUGGUGGAGCGCAGACUCCCCUGUCACCCAGCGCUGCUUUUGCUCGCUUUCUACUUGCUAUGAAUCAAUAAAACCCUGAAUAUUA